GCCGCUCUAUCCCUACUCCCCGGCUCCCCCGUACGUACCGUGCCGCCGCCGGCUUGGGUUCGCCCUCCGUACGUCUCCAGGCCGGCGCUACCGGACCACCCCCUCGGCCUCGGCCCUCGGGUGCCCCCACCGGCGGAGAGGACGCGCUGACGCCUGGGGCCUGGUCGCUCCAAGAGGCCGGUCCGGCGCGGCAGCGCCUGGAGGCCUCAUCGGCGGCAAGCAACAAGCGAGACUGCACACGGAGUGAAGGAUAUUUUGCAGUCUAUCAUAUCAAGAUUGCCAAUAAGACAGGCUGCGAGGACAAGUAUAUUAUCAAACCACUGGAGACAUGUUUUUCGUUGCCGCACAAACUUAGAGUUUCUUUUUAAAUCACUGUUUUAUAAAAAGGGAUUUGGGAUUCCCCGUUCACACAUAAGCGAAUAUGUUUUUAUUCGGAGGGUCGAUGCAGUUUUAAGGCAACACCCUGGCGUAGGGGUUGAAAAACUGGAAGUUGAAUUUUCACCGUUACACAUGAACACGCUGAGCACAUUGAUAGAUGGGUGAAGUUUGCUAUUGCAUCAAAGACAAAGCAACUGAUUCUUGAUUUUCAAGUCCAGCAUCAUGGAAAGGAACCAUAUACCUUCCCAUUUCAGCUUUUUGAUGCUACCAAUGGUUCCCACUUACAAUCUAUGAAGCUUGGUUCUAUUUCUCUGAAGCACCCUGCAAGUAUUAAGUUUUUUCUAAACCUUAAAAAGCUUGAGCCUGUAGACGUGAAUAUUACUGAUGAAGAACUUAAAGUUACUUUGUGUAGCUGCAAUGUUUUGGAGUUUAUUGGAAUUUUCCGUUGUAAAAUGCUUACAUACUAUAAGAAAAAUGGCCCUUAAGCCAUUAUUUGUGA